rnacentral:rRNA from 1 species
AUAUAACUAGGCGGAGGAAAAGAAACUAACCAGGAUUCCCUCAGUAACGGCGAGUGAAGCGGGAGAAGCUCAGAUGUAAAACCUUCGGGGAUGUCGUCUGGAGAAGCUAGAUCAGACAACUAAGGCAGGCAAAGUCUCUUGGAAUAGAGCGCCAUGGAGGGUGACAGCCCCGUCUAUGCCCGCCUGAAUGGUCAUUUUCAGCUUUCUACGAGUCGAGUUGUUUGGGAUUGCAGCUCUAAGUGGGUGGUAAAUUCCAUCUAAAGCUAAAUAUUGGUGGGAGACCGAUAGCGCACAAGUA